rnacentral:rRNA from 1 species
ACGAGGCACUACGGUGCUGAAGCAACAAAUGCCCUGCUUCCAGGAAAAGCCUCUAAGCAUCAGGUAACAUCAAAUCGUACCCCAAACCGACACAGGUGGUCAGGUAGAGAAUACCAAGGCGCUUGAGAGAACUCGGGUGAAGGAACUAGGCAAAAUGGUGCCGUAACUUCGGGAGAAGGCACGCUGACACGUAGGUGAAGUGAUUUACUCAUGGAGCUGAAGUCAGUCGAAGAUACCAGCUGGCUGCAACUGUUUAUUAAAAACACAGCACUGUGCAAACACGAAAGUGGACGUAUACGGUGUGACGCCUGCCCGGUGCCGGAAGGUUAAUUGAUGGGGUCAGCGCAAGCGAAGCUCCUGAUCGAAGCCCCGGUAAACGGCGGCCGUAACUAUAACGGUCCUAAGGUAGCGAAAUUCCUUGUCGGGUAAGUUCCGACCUGCACGAAUGGCGUAAUGAUGGCCAGGCUGUCUCCACCCGAGACUCAGUGAAAUUGAACUCGCUGUGAAGAUGCAGUGUACCCGCGGCAAGACGGAAAGACCCCGUGAACCUUUACUAUAGCUUGACACUGAACAUUGAGCCUUGAUGUGUAGGAUAGGUGGGAGGCUUUGAAGUGUGGACGCCAGUCUGCAUGGAGCCGGCCUUGAAAUACCACCCUUUAAUGUUUGAUGUUCUAACGUGGACCCGUGAUCCGGGUUGCGGACAGUGUCUGGUGGGUAGUUUGACUGGGGCGGUCUCCUCCUAAAGAGUAACGGAGGAGCACGAAGGUUGGCUAAUCCUGGUCGGACAUCAGGAGGUUAGUGCAAUGGCAUAAGCCAGCUUGACUGCGAGCGUGACGGCGCGAGCAGGUGCGAAAGCAGGUCAUAGUGAUCCGGUGGUUCUGAAUGGAAGGGCCAUCGCUCAACGGAUAAAAGGUACUCCGGGGAUAACAGGCUGAUACCGCCCAAGAGUUCAUAUCGACGGCGGUGUUUGGCACCUCGAUGUCGGCUCAUCACAUCCUGGGGCUGAAGUAGGUCCCAAGGGUAUGGCUGUUCGCCAUUUAAAGUGGUACGCGAGCUGGGUUUAGAACGUCGUGAGACAGUUCGGUCCCUAUCUGCCGUGGGCGCUGGAGAACUGAGGGGGGCUGCUCCUAGUACGAGAGGACCGGAGUGGACGCAUCACUGGUGUUCGGGUUGUCAUGCCAAUGGCACUGCCCGGUAGCUAAAUGCGGAAGAGAUAAGUGCUGAAAGCAUCUAAGCACGAAACUUGCCCCGAGAUGAGUUCUCCCUGAGACUUUAGGUCUCCUGAAGGAACGUUGAAGACGACGACGUUGAUAGGCCGGGUGUGUAAGCGCAGCGAUGCGUUGAGCUAACCGGUACUAAUGAACCGUGAGGCUUAACC